UACGGGGGGGGCAAGCGUUGUUCGGAAUUACUGGGCGUAAAGGGCUCGUAGGCGGUUUGUCGCGUCGACUGUGAAAACCCGAGGCUUAACCUCGGGCCUGCAGUCGAUACGGGCAGACUAGAGUUCGGUAGGGGAGACGUGGAAUUCCUGGUGUAGCGGUGAAAUGCGCAGAUAGUCAGGAGGAACACCGGUGGCGAAGGCGGGUCUCUGGGCCGAUACUGACGCUGAGGAGCGAAAGCGUGGGAGCGAACAGGAUAGAAACCCCUG
rnacentral:rRNA from 1 species